CCCCCCCCCAGGUCCAGAUCACGCUACGCCCCUGUACUUUAUGAUAUUUUAGUUGUUUUAUGGCUUUCAUUAUUGCAUCUGCACAGAAUCUUUCGUUAAUAAUACUGUCAUUGUUUACUUCAUAUAGUACUUCAUCCAUGUUAAAAUCAAAUACGUUAUCAUUAUUUGGUUCGCCCUUAUUUAAGUCGCUGAAAUAGUUGAAAAAUGUAUCAAUAGGAGGAACGUUAACGUUGUUAUCUAAGUUAUCUUGUUUCUUAAGUAUUUUAUAAAAGGCUUUGGGAUCAUCUAACCGUAACCGUCUCAAUUUAAUUUCUGUUUUAAAUUUAUGUUGUGCAAAAGCUUUAAGUAUACUCUUUUUAUAAGACUUACUGGCGUUAAUUAAUCUCAUUUUAUUAUCUGUAGUUUUAUUUCUAGCGUAUAUUGUUUUGGCCUCGAGAUACUUCGUACGUAAAUGUUUGUGUCUUAGCCCGAACCAGGGUCGCUUGUUGUGCGCUGACCUUUUGUUACAGCUGUCACUGUAUACACGCACGUGACCGAAUGUCGAGGCUGCCGUGUCUAAAAAUAGAUCUUUUAACAUAUCGGUGGCUUUUGUGACACGUGCUUUUGUAUUAGUAGACUCGUCGUCAAGAAUUAGAGAAAUGCUUUCGAUUAUGUUGUCGAUAUUAUUUAUAAAGUCUUCACGUUUACUAGGAACCCAUUUUGCAUGCUAUUUCCCUUCUUACACCGUUACUAUGAUCUACAUGAUUGUAUGCGUCAGUAUAAUUACAUUUACACGAAUAUGUAACAUUGUAAGUAUUAGAGCACAAUGGCUAUCAGAAAGAAAUGGGUCAAAAUCACAUAUUUGAAAAUCAGUUACAUUUUUAAAAACAUGGUGAGUACCUAUAGCAUAAUCAAUCAGGCUGCAGUCUUUACUUGUGACUUUACCAAUAAAUUUAUCAGUCCCACAUCUACCGUUGAGAAUAUAUAUAUUAUGUAACUUGCAUAGAUCUAAAAGUUUCACUCCAUGCCAGUUAACCCUUCCUAUGUCUUGACUUGCCCUAUCUCUGGGAAUACUGAGAUUGUCAAGAUUUGUUAUAUCAUUCAUAAAAUUAUUCAUGUCAACAUCAUCAGUGUAAACAUCAUCAACUGUAGUAUAAUCCAGAGAACAUUUAGUUCUGGCAUUAAAGUCACCUAGCAGGAGCAGUGGUUUUCCUGAUUCUACAUUUUGAAAUAUUUGAUUUUCGAUAAUAUUAAAAGUGUCAUCUUUAUAAUAUGGUGAGCCAGUAGGUGAAAUAUAUACAAUGCCAACCAUUAAACAAUUAUCUUCAUAUCCUACCUGUGGGAAGUGCAAAUAAAAGAUCCCUUGCUGCCUGUCGUAAAAAAGAGUAGCCUAUGUGGCGACAGCGGGUUUCCUCUAAAAACAGUGUCAGAAUGACCAUAUGUUUGACGUCCAAUAGCCGAUGAUAAGAUUAAAAAUCAAUGUGCUCUAGUGGCGUCGUUAAAUAAAACAAACUUUACUUUACUUUCUUGGUUUGAGUGCCUGUGAUACUAAGCCAAGAGAUAUAUUGGGACCGAUUUCUUUCACCGACUUUAACAAUAUCAGCUAAUUCAUGUUUAACACUAAUGACAAUGCCGCCGGAGGGUCUGAUACCUUUUCUCUUGUUGAAAUAAGUUGUGUAUCCUGGGUAACUGUUGAAUUGUUAUAUUGAUGAUGCUCAUCACACUGUUGUUUCAUUUUACCAUAGUUUGACACCCAAUAGCCGAUGUAUUUUUCAUGCUGGGGUGUCGUUAAACAUUCAUUCAUUCAUUUAUUCAUUCAUGUAUCCUGGGAUAAGAUCUGGUUUACAGUCUGUUUCAUCAGUUUUGCUUUCUUGAAAACACAGUAUUUUGAUAUUAAUAAUGAGAAAUCAGGUGUAAUUAGUUUACUUUUUAAACCACAGACAUUCAAACUAAGUAUUCGCAACUUGGUAUAGUCAUUGUUUAUAUCAGUGUAUGCUAUUUCAUUAUUAACUGAAUAAUUAGCUUCUAUCAUGUUGCUUUGAUUGUUAACAUAUGGCUGGUUAGAUAAAAAUAUGUUUGGGUUGUCAUGAUGCCUGUUUGGUGAAAUAUGAUCAGAUAAAAUACUGUUCAGGUUAACAUGGGACUGUUUAGUUAACUUGUUUUCAGAUGUGUGUUUGUUAUGGUUGUCGAUGUUGUUGGUUACUGUAUUAUUCAGGGUGUUCAGGGUGGUCAUCUGGGCUUGAUGAGGGGUCAUAGUUUGUGCAACGUGAUGGAAACUAUGGUAUGCAUCAGCAUGUACAACAUUUUGUGAACUUGUCACAGGCAAGGCAUUAAAAGUAUUAUUAACUAUUGGCUCACAAUAUGCAUUCAUAUCUGUAUGCACAAGGGUUUGUGAACUUGUCACAGGCAAGGCAUUAAUAGUAUUAUUAACUAUUGGCUCACAAUAUGCAUUCAUAUCUGUAUGUACAAGGGUUUGUGAACUUGUCACAGGCAAUGCAUUAAAAGUAUUAUUAACUAUUGGCUAACUAUAUGCAUUCAUAUCUGUAUGUACAAGGGUUUGUGAACUUGUCACAGGCAAGGCAUUAAAAGUAUUAUUAACUAUUGGCUCACAAUAUGCAUUCAUACCUGUAUGUACAAGGGUUUGUGAACUUGUCACAGGCAAGGUAUUAAAAGUAUUAUUAACUAUUAGCUCACAAUAUGCAUUCAUAUCUGUAUGUACAAGGGUUUGUGAACUUGUCACAGGCAAGGCAUUAAAAGUAUUAUUAACUAUUGGCUCACAAUAUGCAUUCAUAUCUGUAUGUACAAGGGUUUGUGAACUUGUCACAGGCAAGGCAUUAAAAGUAUUAUUAACUAUUAGCUCACUAUAUGCAUUCAUAUCUGUAUGUACAAGGGUUUGUGAACUUGUCACAGGUAAGGUAUUAAAAGUAUCAUUAACUAUUGGCUCAUUGCAAACACUCAUAUUUGUAUGUACAUCAGUUUGUGAACUUGUCACAGGUAUGGCAUUAAACAUGUUAUUAACUAUUAACUCAGCAUGCACAAUCAUGUCUGGAUCACUAUGAUUAUAACGAGGGUAAGUGGGAUGAACAUCAUAAUAUGCAGGGUCAUUAUAUACAAAGUAUGGUGACCUACCCAUGGCAAUACUAGGUACUGGCAUGUUAGUAUUAUUUUCUGUCUCCUGAUAUUGACAGC